GUAGGUGGCAAGCGUUGUCCGGAAUUAUUGGGCGUAAAGCGCGCGCAGGCGGUUCUUUAAGUCUGAUGUGAAAGCCCACGGCUCAACCGUGGAGGGUCAUUGAAAACUGGAGAACUUGAGUACAGAAGAGGAGAGCGGAAUUCCACGUGUAGCGGUGAAAUGCGUAGAGAUGUGGAGGAACACCAGUGGCGAAGGCGGCUUUCUGGUCUGUAACUGACGCUGAGGCGCGAAAGCGUGGGGAGCAAACAGGAUUAGAUACCCUGGUAGUCCACGCCGUAAACGAUGAGUGCUAAGUGUUAGGGGGGUUUCCGCCCCCCUUAGUGCUGCAGCUAACGCACUAAGCACUCCGCCUGGGAGUACGGCCGCAAGGCUG
rnacentral:rRNA from 1 species